GGGUCAUGAAGCAGCUGUUCAAGUCAGCGGCCUGUCCGCCCUCCGCUGGAAUAAGAAAUUAGUCCAUUUUAAAGUAAAUAACUAAAGCCUCUGGCCGAUAAGAAGGAAUUAUAGAAUGGUGUGCGGGCUCCAGACCGACGGAGAGACAGGCCCCAAAACAGUUAAAUCCAAUAAAUAUGAUUUUUACCCCUCCUCCGUCAAAUUAUUAAACACUUCGGUGCUAGAGUUAGCCCAAGUUAUUAUCAACUUAAGCUCUCCAUCUGUCGGCUCCCCUCCUCUGCGCUGUCUGCCCAGAGUCACCAGUCAUCCACCAGCAUGCGUUCCUCCUCGGGUCAUAAUGGAGAUCAUAUGUUGAAGCCAGCGCUGAAACCCAACACGGGACAUCCACAUCAAAUAAAACCUGCUGUCAGCGGCGGGACCUGGCUCUGCCAAGGCUAGUGAAACCAUAUCUAUGUCGGCCUCACCAACACGCCAUAAAGUGGAAGCCCAGAAGACUAACAGACGCACAGACGGGUGGACCACAUCUCUCUGAGAAAAGACAGAGAUGGAAUCACACUUCCACUUCCCCUCGUCUGAGACGUGACGAUAGAGAUCCGCAGUGAGAGCUGGAAGAUGGAUGGAGGCAAGAUGAUGGCGAUGGUACUGCUGCUGGGGGAAGCUGGAAGCCGGGAGUGUCCUGUUGUUCGUCAAGUAGCCCAGAGAUCAGAUGCUAUCGGGCCGGGAGGUGUCUGCUGCUGCUGCUGCUGCGGCUGCUCAGCUCCUUUGUGCAGGCAGAGCUAGUUUACGUAAAGGAUAAACAGUGACCCAGGGGGUUGUAAUCCACUAGCAGACCGAGCAGGAGCUGCGUGGAUUACCAGCGACUAGCUGUAGCCUCUCCACUUGUUUUACACCUCAAGAGGAUCCUAAUUGAGCUAAAUCGUAUUAUUUAUGGCUGGCUAUGGAGAUGGUAAUCAGAGUGGCUGGUGUGUCUUUAAACAGAUCAGUCAGGAGCUGGGGCUGUUAAUGUGGCACACACAUACAUGCGCAGCUUCAGUUUCCAGGUUGCUCUCAUGAGACGGCUUAACAGUGGGAGGGGAAAUGUUGCGCGGUCAUUAGAGAUACCAGUGUGUUUGGGUACGUGUGAGUUAGAGAGGAAGCUCAUAUCAGGACGUUUUAUUGUUAGACAAAGCGAACCUGGAAAACGAACUCCACCGCUGCCAAUGACAUUUUUAAUAUUUCCAUAAAACGACUCCUAACAAGAUAUUUUGCUUGCCUUUUUUAUUCCUCCUGAUUUAAUGAAUCCCACUGAUGUAGAUCCAGAAUAUUCAUUGCAGGCAGCUACCUAGACCAGCAAUUUCCCGUAUUAUUAAAAGGCAGGAAUACUUGAUGUGAAGAUAUGAAGAUAUGAAGUUUCACUGCUGGCUGAUAUGAGAAUUAUGAAUGGAGACAGAGGGCAUAAGCUGACCCAGCGUGGAGCCAGGGGUCUGCAGCGCCGCUGAUAGACAAUGGGGAGGAGAAACUCCGAGAGCAGCUCACAUAAAUGUCACCGCUUUUUGGGCCGCUAAUAAAAACAGAACAGGGCUCACGAUAAAAGGCGCAUUAGAGGAGCGCAAGAAAGAGGAAUUAAGCAAGCGCGAGAGAAAAAUAAUGGCCGAGGAGGAGGAGAGAGGAAUGUGUUAAUAUCUUUCAGACAAAAGGGAAGAAGAUAUCACACCACACCGUGGUGGGGAGGAUUUGCAAAGAUUUUGAGAUGGUUGGGGUGAGGCGAUGUGAAGCAGAGUGUGAGAGAGUGGAAGGAAAACAAAGGAGGAAGAUGUGGCCAUUUGAGAGUUUAAAAAACCCCUGAGCCACGAGCACGUCCACGUUCGCAAUGUACAUACGAAUGGCAGCGAGGAAGCAACAGGAAAGCAAGCAGCAGACGCUGCUAUCCUGCCAAGAUCCAGCCACACGGAGCUGCAGACAACAUUUAACCCUUUCAGUUCUCUGCAUGUUAUUGGACAAACAAUUCUAAGAAAAUAAUGCAGAUUGAAAACGCUGGGACGAGACAGACAGAGUCACAGUGUCUGUGAGAUGAAGGCUGCAGCUCCAGUGGAAAAUCCAGGAAGAUGUAGAGCCUCCAGAGGAGGAGGUCUGGUUUCAGCAGCUGAUCAGAGCGGAGGACGAGGGGAAAACCUGUCUGGAGCAGAUGUUUUAUUAGCAGACGCGAAGGCUUGAAAGGACGUUUUACUGUCCAUUUUACAUGAAAGAACUUGGCCAUCGACUGGAGAAACAUGUCACGGUCUGUGUACUCUUACACUUGGACCAGUUUGCGCUCCGGCCUCUCAGGCUGAAGACAUUUUUGGGAAGUGAGGACAUGUUCACUGUUGUGUGCGGCGUUCAAAGGCGGGCUUUUGGGCGAAGGCUCGUGUUCAGGCCGCGCUCAGGACGAAGGGAAUCCCUGCGCUAAAAGCAAGCAGAAGCAGAGCAAUCAACAGAAAACAGGCAGCGAUGGCAGAGCGGAGGCUUUGACACCACCUGAUAGACGCUGCGCAUCUGUCUUCGUCACGUAAUUCAUCAGAUUUAAAGCGGAGCUACACACAAGUUACACAAACAACACUGCUUCCCUCUGCUUCCUGACCUCAGGCAGCUGCUGCGCUACAACACCUCGUAGGCAGCGUCUAUCCAUUUUCUACCAGAACUACAAAACUGAAAAUAAUCUUUUUUUUAGACUCAUUUUAAUCUAAAAAUAAUUCACGGAAGAAGCAUUUAAAGUCAAUUAUAGCAUCAGACACAUGCGAAUAGAAUGCGCACUUAUUGUGUGCCCAGCAUUUGUUGGCAUGGCAACGUACAGUAGAGCGCCACAUGUACUGUAAGCGUGUCGCUGGGCGCGCGGCGGCGGCGGCGGCGUGUGACUUGGCUUGUGUAGUACGUGGAAGGAGUGUGGGUCCAGAAACGCAGCAGCGUGGGACGCCGUGUGAGGGUUCGUUCAACGAUGGCUGAAUUAUCGCCGUUCACGGCAACAACGUCCGGGUCGGCUUCGUCCCGCGCGCAGCACUGCGGCAGGCGGAUUUAUUGUGUCUUUGUGCGUUUUGCAUGUGGUGUGCGCAGGUCAUUGUGCGAGGAGCUGGCAGCAGCCUCCUCUCUCCUCCUCGCUCCUGCAAUAAUCAGUGGCCUUCUCCACCUCUCCCUCCCUGCCUGCGGUUUGUUCACAUACCAUGUCAGCGGCGCGGGCAGGAAUGUGUGCGUGUGCGUCGGAUCGGAGCGUUCCUGUGUGUCGGCGUGCGUCUCUGCUGAACCUAGGGAUCACGUGCACAUUAGUGUGUGUGUGUGUGUGUGUGUGUGUGUGUGUCUGUGUGUGUGUGUGUGUGUGUGUGUGUGAAGAGAGAGGGAGAGAUGUGGUGCACUUGUGUGUAAGAGCAGAGGGUGGGGGUUGAAGAGGCCCUGUAAGGGAGAAAACCUGAAGGUAGUUAGUUGGCCUUUUCCCUGCAGUAAACAGCACACGAUGCAGCCUGGAGAGGCUGAACAUCAUGUGGUGUCUGUGCUGAGAGAUCACUGGUGUUCUAAUCGGGAUAAAAUCACCGUACUGAACUAUCAAUAUCCAGCUUUAUGUGCAAUGGGCCGGUUGUUGUGUUAGAGGAAACACAGCUGGAGACGUGUUCUCUGUUCUGGGUGUGUUGACUAGAAAGCGGAGCAGACGCAUCGGCCUGGACGCUCAGAUGUGGGCAGAGACGGGGAGAAGCAUCAGAACGCUGCUGCAGAGGCAUCACUGUGUCCCAGAAACAGCC